UCCUUUCCAAGAUGUAAUCAAGCCGU
rnacentral:piRNA from 1 species